GUAUCCUGGUAACAAGGACAUGGUGCAAGCUGACUUUUUGUGUGUGGAAGUUGUAUAACAGUUUAACAUGCCACUUCUCCUGUUCCACUUUUUUUUCUAUAUUCAAUGUGUACUGCUCUAAAAAUAUUUUAGAUGGUUCGUUGCAGAAUAUUUUGGAAGAGAAAUGCAAGUUAAAUGUAAACAAUUAAAUAUUGUGGUAAAGUUUUUUUUCUGAUGCUAUGAUUAGUGGUCUAUACAAUAUUAUUCAGUGGAUUUUGUGUAUGUUGGGAUUGACAUGUAGGCUAGCGUUCAACGAUUUGCAGUGUGUUUUCACUUUCCAGUGGAAAAAUUUGAAUGGUACAACUGUUAUAUGGUUUUGGUAACUGCAUAGUGAUAUUAUAAUUUAUGAGCCUAUCACAGAUGUUAUUUUGGUGGAAAAUGGAUGUAAUGGUUUUGUGGUGAGAAUCAACUCCGUUAUGUUGAUUGAUCUGUCUGCCACAUUUCUUUUUCAACCAUUUCUGAUAACGGGUUUUCCAUUGGCUGGAACUGCAAUUUGUUUCAAUCCCAAUUAUUCUUUUCUUAUUUUUAUUUUAUAAAUGUUUCUUUAGGGAGUUGUAGCCUUGAUGUAUAGAUCUGGUAAUGGAAGUAAAAAAUUAUGUCAAGUCUCAAACAUACGAAUUUUUUACAAAUGGAAAUACUAUGUUGAGCCUUGGGUGGCCCAAGUUUAAAAUCACAACAAUUCUGGUAGAUAUACAUUCCUGUGAAUGCCAUUGAUUGAGGUUUAUGUCAAGCUCCUCUCUUACUGCUGUGCUGGCCUUGUACCUUAAUGGAAUUCUUAGAAAUAGUGAUAUACUCCCAUAAUUUUAUUGUGUUGAUUUGUGUGUAUUUAUGUCGAGUUUUAAUUCAGUUCUCUUUCUAUUGUUGCAUUCUUAUUUUCUCUUUUGCUUCUAGAUAAUAUUUGAUAAUAUUCUCA
rnacentral:misc_RNA from 1 species